rnacentral:snRNA from 1 species
GUGCUCGCUUUGGCAGCACAUAUACUGAAACUGGAACAAUACAGAGAAAAUUAGCAUGGCCCCUGAGCAAGGAUGACACACAAAUUCAUGAAAAGUUCCAUAUUUUU